GACGAACGCUGACGGCGUGCUUAACACAUGCAAGUCGAAGGGAGUGGCGAACGGGUGAGUAACACGUGAGUAACCUGCCCUUUUCUUUGGGAUAAGCCUGGGAAACUGGGUCUAAUACUGGAUGGAUUGGGAUUGGCUCGCGGCUUAUCAGCUUGUUGGUGGGGGGCUGGCUUACCAAGGCUUUGGCGGGUAGACGGACUGGGAGGGUGGGCCGGCCAACUUGGGCUUUGGUUCGGCCCAGACUGCUUCUGGAGGCGGUAGGUGGGGGUAUUGCACCAUUGACGAAAGGCUGGUGCCGCGGCGUUCGGUGGGGGUUUGAGGCCUUCGGGUUGUAAACUCCUUUCGCCCGCGGAAUGGUAGUGGGUAAAGAAGCGCCGGCUAACUACGUGCCAGCAGCCGCGGUAAUUC
rnacentral:rRNA from 1 species